rnacentral:lncRNA from 12 species
AUGGGUUCUGAUGUUGAGGUGCUUCUGGGACGGCUUGAAGAGGUGACAGGCCGGGAGCUCCACCUGCCUGCUGCUGUCCAGCUGGAUGAGGCGGCCCAAGGCAUGAAGCCAGGAAGGCAGCUCAUCGGCCCAGCAGGUGCCAGGUGGGCACAAUGGGCAGCCGGGCAGGGGAGGCUGAGCCCAGAGGGUCCUGGAGGGAGGGGAGGAGGUGGAGGGGGGGCAAGGUGGAGGUCCAGGGGAGCAGGGCUCCAGGACAGGAGGCAGGGGCGAGGGAGUGAGAAUCAGAAGCACAGAGGGACGUGUUCCAUCGAAGCUUUGAGAAGUGCAGGCAUUUUAGGAGAGGCAAGCUCCAGGCUGUGGCUGUGGGAGGCACUGACCGAGGUGGACGUAGGGAGGCCUUUGGGUUUGAGAAGGUCAAUGAACAGAACGGAGGUGGACUGUCCCCACACAGGAGGAGAACCGGGCUUCCAGCAGGAGGAGGGGAGGUUUAAGGACAAAGCUGAGGAACUGGGAAGACUGGGGAGGGAGAGAGGAAGAGAAGCAGGGGCAGGAAAAGGCAGGGAAAAGCUGGGUGACACGGAUGGUGAAGGCUGGACACGAACCUCCAGAACAACCCCCUCUGAAGGCACCUGCUGCCUGGCGGAGGUGGGCCUAGCCACAGCUGGAGUUGUGUUUCUGAGGAACCCAGCCCCUCUUCUCUGGCCCCACAGACACUCUUCACUCAGGCCUUCAGCCUCUUUUGUUCUGAUUCCCCAAACAGCCAGUGUUUCCACGCCUGACCCCAGAGACCUCUUUCCAGGCCCAGCUAUUCCCCAGAGUGACCCUGGCCCUGCAGUCUCCCUCCGAUCCCUUCCCUGCCCGCACCCCCUCCUCCCACAGGAUAAACUCCACCCUUUAGUCCCCCCAGAAUGCUCUCACAGCACACAGGCUGAGCUUGGGACUACUCGCACUUCCCUGAACAGUCUCUGUUCUCGCCUCCAGGCCGUGCACAGCAGCUUCCUCCUGAAAGGCCUCCUCCACUCUCCUGGCUGGAUCCUCUUCUUUCCCCAAGAAGCCUUUUCUAAUGAUCUGACAUGGCCCCUCCUAGGUGUUCCUAGAGCGUUCCAGGCUUUCCUUAUCACAAGCUGUCACACCACUGUGAUGUCUGCUCUCGCCUGCCUUCCCCACCAUGGAUGGGUCCUGGGUCUCUAA